rnacentral:rRNA from 1 species
AUUGAACGCUGGCGGCAUGCUUUACACAUGCAAGUCGGACGGCAGCACAGAGAAGCUUGCUUCUUGGGUGGCGAGUGGCGAACGGGUGAGUAACAUAUCGGAACGUACCGAGUAGUGGGGGAUAACUGAUCGAAAGAUCAGCUAAUACCGCAUACGUCUUGAGAGGGAAAGCAGGGGACCUUCGGGCCUUGCGCUAUUCGAGCGGCCGAUAUCUGAUUAGCUAGUUGGUGGGGUAAAGGCCUACCAAGGCGACGAUCAGUAGCGGGUCUGAGAGGAUGAUCCGCCACACUGGGACUGAGACACGGCCCAGACUCCUACGGGAGGCAGCAGUGGGGAAUUUUGGACAAUGGGCGCAAGCCUGAUCCAGCCAUGCCGCGUGUCUGAAGAAGGCCUUCGGGUUGUAAAGGACUUUUGUCAGGGAAGAAAAGGCUGUUGCUAAUAUCAGCGGCUGAUGACGGUACCUGAAGAAUAAGCACCGGCUAACUACGUGCCAGCAGCCGCGGUAAUACGUAGGGUGCGAGCGUUAAUCGGAAUUACUGGGCGUAAAGCGAGCGCAGACGGUUACUUAAGCAGGAUGUGAAAUCCCCGGGCUCAACCUGGGAACUGCGUUCUGAACUGGGUGACUAGAGUGUGUCAGAGGGAGGUAGAAUUCCACGUGUAGCAGUGAAAUGCGUAGAGAUGUGGAGGAAUACCGAUGGCGAAGGCAGCCUCCUGGGGAUAACACUGACGUUCAUGCUCGAAAGCGUGGGUAGCAAACAGG